UACGGGGGGAGCAAGCGUUGUUCGGAUUUACUGGGCGUAAAGGGCGCGUAGGCGGCGUAACAAGUCACUUGUGAAAUCUCCGGGCUUAACCCGGAGCGGCCAAGUGAUACUGUUGUGCUAGAGUGCGGAAGGGGCUACUGGAAUUCUCGGUGUAGUGGUGAAAUGCGUAGAGAUCGGGAGGAACACCUGUGGCGAAGGCGGCCGACUGGGCCGACCCUGACGCUGAGGCGCGACAGCGUGGGGAGCAAACAGG
rnacentral:rRNA from 1 species